rnacentral:ncRNA from 2 species
CGCUCAUCCAGAGGGGCAGAGGGAUACGGCCCGAAGAAGCCCCGGCAACCCUCCGGCUGGUCCUGCGUUCCGUGGCGGGGUCCCCAGUUCGGGAAGGUGCCAAGUCCGUCUCGUGGCGAGAUACGUCACGAGGAAGAUGAGGA